GUUGAAACACCGGUUCUCGUCCGACCACUGAAGUUAAGGAACGUCUAGCCUGGUCAGUACUUAAAUGGGUUGACCGCUUGGUAAUACCACGUGCU